rnacentral:rRNA from 1 species
AUGGCUUCUUCAAUCAUCGCUAGCAAUGCGGUCCAAGGUGAGGUUUUCCUCCCCGGGCAGAUUUUUGUAUUCGGCGGCUUCGCACUGUGGGCCAAUUCGCUUGGCCAUCUGGAGAAGAUCAAGAGCUACGCCCCUGUCCAUCAGGUCAGAUUCGAAAACUUAAACUACACGACUGACAUCCGCGGAGACUUGAUCUUCGAUGGAUUCGAGCCCAUGUCGGACGCACCGCAUAGUCGCGGCGAGCAUGACGUUACUCUGCCGUCGGACAAUGUUCGGGAGAUCGCAUCUGCAACUACUCCGACUAUCAAUCCGGAGCAAAUUGCGCCAUCCAAGAGCAGAGGGAUAGACCCCGCCAUGGAGGCUGCACUCUCAGUGGCGAUAGAGCCGGAUACUGACUUUACCCCUUACGAGAGUCGCAUCGCCGAACCACUGGAUUCUUCUCCGGCCACGGGCUCCGAGCCACCUGCAUCCGCACCCAUCGAAUCCGAUUGGGCGUCGAUCAUGGAGUUCACCUCCGCGGAUAUCUUUCAUCACCCACCUUUCGGCGAUGUGCUAAAUUCAUUAAGGUCUCUCUCCCUGUCAGGAGAACUUUGGCUGAACUAUGUCCGGCUAGAAUGGGAUGCGGACGAUGAAGAAAUCCACUGCCCACCCACCACCCACUUAGUAGCCACUGUCGACGACUUAACUGACAUGCUCGACUUCGACUUCGAAGACAUCGACGGUAUGGACGACGAUGCAGGAAACGAACAGGAACCACCGCCCACAGGGCGCCGGACCACCACUUCAUCACAUGACAUAUACCUGGUGGAUACACCCACAGAGGGCAAUGGCGAAGAGACAGCGGAGGAUGCCCCAUCCAAAGCAACCCAAGCGCCGACGUCAGCGGCGCCGCUCUAA